UCUACGGGUGGCAGCAGUGGGGAAUAUUGCACAAUGGGGGAAACCCUGAUGCAGCGACGCCGCGUGAGCGAGGAAGUAUUUCGGUAUGUAAAGCUCUAUCAGCAGGGACGAAAAAAGACGGUACUUGCCUAAGAAGCCCCGGCUACAUACGUGCCAGAAGCCGCGGUAAUACGGGGGGGGCAAGCGUUAGCCGGAUUGACUGGGUGGAAAGGGAGCGUAGACGGCAAGGCAAGCCAGAAGUGAAAGGGCAGGGCUCAACCCUGUACAGCCCUUGGGAACUGUGGUGCUAGAGUGCAGGGGAGGGAAGUGGAAUUCCUAGUGUAGCGGUGAAAUGCGUAGAUAUUAGGAGGAACACCAGUGGCGAAGGCGGCUUACUGGACUGUAACUGACGUUGAGGCUCGAAAGCGUGGGGAGCAAACAGGAUUAGAUACCCUGGUAGUC
rnacentral:rRNA from 1 species